UCACCCCUCAAAAUCUUGCCUCUAAAAUUAUUUUCUUGUUGAAUUCCUACUAAAUUAAGUGUCCUUUACAACUUGGUGUAGUUGUUUUGGAAGAAGGAGCACUUAUUUCUUCAAGUUGACAACUUGUUCAAGUGAAGAAAUUUGUAGAAAAAGAUUUUGAAGGAAACGGGAAUUGAAUUUGGAAAGGCGUAAAGAGCAUACAAGGUACAGACGACAGAUUUGCUGACCGCCUGCCUAGGAUAUCUAUUCUGCUAUUUUGGGAGUGCUCUUUUGUCCAGAGCCUAUAUGUUGGUACAGUCUGCUGCUAUUGUAUAUAUGUAUGCUAUUCAGGGGUAUGACGGGGCCCUGUCCCGUCUUAUGAUUCUGUUAUGUUCUGUAGAGGUCUGUAGACAUACUU